rnacentral:rRNA from 1 species
UACAGAGGGGGCAAGCGUUAUUCGGAAUUAUUGGGCGUAAAGGGCGCGUAGGCGGCAUUGCAAGUGGAAGGUGAAAUCCCUCGGCUUAACCGGGGAACUGCGUCUGAUACUGGAUGGCUUGAGGUUGGGAGAGGGAUGCGGAAUUCCAGGUGUAGCGGUGAAAUGCGUAGAUAUCUGGAGGAACACCGGUGGCGAAGGCGGCAUCCUGGACCAAUUCUGACGCUGAGGAGCGAAAGCCAGGGAGCAAACGGG